UACGAAGGGGGCUAGCGUUGCUCGGAAUUACUGGGCGUAAAGCGCACGUAGGCGGGUCGUUAAGUCGGGGGUGAAAUCCUGGAGCUCAACUCCAGAACUGCCUCCGAUACUGGCGACCUCGAGUCCGGGAGAGGUGAGUGGAACUGCGAGUGUAGAGGUGAAAUUCGUAGAUAUUCGCAAGAACACCAGUGGCGAAGGCGGCUCACUGGCCCGGUACUGACGCUGAGGUGCGAAGGCGUGGGGAGCAAACAGG
rnacentral:rRNA from 1 species